CAACGCACAAACCUAGCCGUCCUUCAGUCUCGCUCUCGCCCUCUCCCAGUCCCAUCGGCAAACCGCCGCCGCCGCCCACUGUCCCACGCCGUCGUAGGCUGCCGGAUCCCCGCGGCCGCCCCCCUGCAGGCCGCCUCCAUCCUUGCUAGAUCUACGACCAAGCACCACCUCCGCCUCCAUCCUCGCUGGAUCCGCAGCCAAGCACCACCGCCACUCGACGCCGCCGUCUCAGUCCUCAUUCUCCCUCGAGCAGCAGGCUCACCACGCCGGAGCAGCAACGACGCCACCUCUGCAUCGAUCCCGUCCAACCGGAGCAGCACCGCCGCCAUCCUCGUUCUUCCUCCAAGGCUUCACCGCACCGGACCAGCACCGAAGCCAUCAUCGCGCCGGAGUAGCACCGAGGCCAUCACCGCGCCCUCCUUCUGUCUCACCAAGAUGAGUUCACCAGUGGAUAGUUUCUCGGCGCCGGGAGUGGAAAGCUCAGCUGUGCAUGGAACUCAACAUGACAAGUCAUCCACUCCACAAGCAACAGAGGGUACGGAUGGCAUAGAUGUUCACUUGCACCAAACAUGAUCGAAGCUCUUAUGUGUAUGCAAGCUUGGUCCCGUGCAGACAUGUUAGGGGAUUGCAAUUCUGCUCUCUUUGCGGACUUUGAAACUGUUCUUAAGGAUGACACAUAAAUGAUGGAGGUUGAUGAUCAAUCCAUCCUAACUGAAGCUUGAAACAUGAUUGUAUGAUGUUGCUGCUGCUGCUUGGUUGCGACGAGAAGGCCGAUGACCCGGCGUGCUACACUACUACCUGCUGUUAUUUACAUUUAUCCAUGGGCUGCUACCUACUUGCUACUGCUAGCUUGUUGGCACACUACUACUCAACCUGAACCUUGUAUUUGUGCAGCUGCUGAACCUUGUAUUUCUGCUGCUAUUUGUGCAACUGAACCUUGUAUUUCUGCUCCUGAACCUUGUAUUUGUGCUUCUGAAGACCUGCACCAUGUAUUUGUGAUGCUAUUUAUGUUCCUGAACCUUGUAUUUGCCUUC